CUUCUCAUACAGUGGUGACGUCAUGUAGCGCUCGUUACAGAUGACGAUCUGCUGUCCCAGGAGAUAACUGUAGAGAGGUGCAACCGGUGUCUCUAUUCUGUGCGCAGGUCACGACAAACAUUACAACACAGGACGAGGAAUUCUUUUUAUUAUUAUUUAAAUGUGGUAACCAGCGAGAAGUUUAGUUGACGGAGACUUGCACAAGCAUUAACCGACAUCCUCCAUCAACAAGACAAGAAGCGGGAGACCUGGGUUGGGGGGAAGAGGGGAUGGUUGUGGUGGGAGGCUGAGUGAGGGCAGGGAUGGAAAUGUAUUAGUAGGUCGAGUUCAAUGGAAGCCAAAGAUCAGCAAGAUGACAUGUGGCCAGCGGUUGUGAGGUAAACAAGUGGUCGUUCACCCCGCACUCUCAUCUUAGUAGGUCAGGUCAGUUGCACCCUUGCCCCGCUGCCAACAUUAGUGUCAGAGAGAGAGAUUGGCUGUGUGCACUGAUUCAUUGUUCUGUAAUUAUCUGUAUGCGCAGAGAUUUACGCAAGUGUUGAUGCUAUUGGACUGACUGGUGUAAAGAACAGAAUAUUUUAUUACAGAACCUUUAUGGAAAAAUCCAAGGAAAUACGGGGAUUGAUUUCCAGUUCCUGGAAAAGCUAGGAAAAUGUAAAAAACAUUCUUUAAAAUGUCAGGGAAAAAACGAGGGAAUUGUUUUUCAUAACUACUUUGCUAAUGUUUGCAGAGCGAAAAUAGCAGUUGUAAAAAUCGUGUGUUAGAAACGUGACACAGUACCAUGGUUUGAAGAAGUCAGGAGCUUUAGGGGAAGGGGUUCUCUGAAUGUUAAAGCUAUGAAGACUUUAUGUUGUCAUUAAAGUUAAAGAUAACCAACCGCAGCACAUAACACAACGCCCAACUGCCAACAGAGUUCAGUCCUCAAUCAUCACACCCGCCUCUGUCAGGAGCUAAUGCAAGGUAAUGUGCGGGGAUCAUUAUUAAUGCAUGAGAGCUCGAGGAAACAAGCCUUCUCGCCAAACAGCAGCUAGUUCAUCUCAGGACAAAAAAAAACAAAAAACAUUAGAAACCUGUUGCCAUGCAGUGGCCGCUUGCCUCGACUCUACAAAUCUUUCGCCUUUAAUCUUUAAGCGCGAGAGACAGCGGAAGACAGGAUGCAGAUGGUUUAUGCAUGAAAAGAAUGAACACAAACUCAUCUUUUUACGGGAAGCAAACGAGAAAAUUGUCCGAUACUCCGGACCCACCUCCUUACACAUCCAGAGAUGCAUCGAGCUAUUAAUAAAGAUUAUCAUCCAAUUUAAUGCAUGAAAAACACUACAAGAACUUGCCACACAAAGCCCGAGGCGAUGCGAUCUGAUUGCAGCACACGGCGCAGGCUGGCGAGGAGACAAACGCCCGGAUGUGAGUGUGUAAACACUUGUGGGAGGUCACCACACUCUCACCGGCCUUGACAUCUAGCAUCAUCGCCGCAGCUUUAUCGGGUUUACACUCACUUUACACUUUUCACUCGUAGGUGACUGAGCUGCGUACCACAAAACGGGAAAAACAAGAAUGGACUGGCCACUUCGCCUUCAACGCCAAAGCAGAUGACGCGAUUUUCCGUGCCACCACGAUGUUCAAUCACCGAUUGCCAAGUUUCACCAAAUGAUAAAAGCAGACGAAAAUAAUGAGGAAAAUAAAAUAAAAGCAAUAUCCUCCUAUCUUCAGUUGCAACACACCUACAGGCCAUCUGUAUCGGGACCAACUUUGGAAACGUUUUUACAGGUAUCAUUCAUAAGAGGAAAUAGCAGGACUCAAGACACAAACAACAGAACAUGGCAGGGUGGUCAGGUCAGCACACCACGGACGUUUGUAAUCAUCACCGUUUCUAGCGAUAAUCAGGCAGAUCAGAACCGCUCUAUCUGAAAGUUGCACUUCCACAUCAUUAUGACUGAAAUGACAUCGCAUCUGUCCUCAAGUGAUGUGAGAGGCCAACAAAUGGCAGGCUAACUAGCCAAGGACAUGAAAAUGCUGAUCGCCUAGCUCUGUCAUUAAGACGAGGGAGCACCUUGGCUCCAGCUGGAUCGAUAGUCGGGUAAAAUGCAACCGCAAGUCCGGUCUUCUGGAAAUUUCUUAGACAGAGCCUGGAAACUAACACCUAUCGCAGCUCCUUAACCAUCCAAAUCGCUAAACAGUGAAUCAAGAGUGCCACAUGCAAAGAAUGAACAGCAUGUCUGAGAUGAGAGCUGAACCCAGGACAACCAACCCUAAUUGCAUUGGUGACAGGUGCUAACUUUUGAGCCACUGGACCGCCCAUGGUUCUGAGGAAGAGCAACAAUAUUAAUUAUAACAAUCAAAAAGGCACCCAAAAAUUAUCUAACUACACACCCUUGUGAAUAAAAUUAAAUGUUUUCAGCAAUGCAGUGUUAUUUGAAUAAGCUAACAAAAAUAAUGCCUUUAUUUGUUCUGCCGCAAUAUUUAAUUUGAAGAAUAGAGUAUCAAGAUUGCUUGAAACCCUCAUUUUAAAAAAAAAACUUAAAAGAUGCAAUAUUACACUAUUAUCAAAUGACUUUGAAAUUUUAAAACAUGUGCCCAUGAGACCCAUUUACUUCAAAUGCUAUGCUCACUUGUGGAAACACAUCCCACAGCUGAAAAAAAAAUUGGAUAUCACUUCAAAGAAAAAAAUUUGCCAGAACAGGUUCUAAUAAUCUAAAGAAAAAAUUCAAGCCUUCAAUAUUAGCAUCCUUUCAACUGAG